GAGAAUAUAGCUCAGUGAUAGAGCUGGUGUUUAGCACACAUGAAGUCCUGGAUUCAAUCCCCAGUUCUUCCA
rnacentral:tRNA from 1 species